rnacentral:misc_RNA from 1 species
GAUGAAGAACGUAGCGAAAUGCGAUAAGUAAUGCGAAUUGCAGAAUUCAGUGAAUCAUCGAAUCUUUGAACGCACCUUGCGCUCCUUGGUAUUCCGAGGAGCAUGCCUGUUUGAGUGUCAUGAAUCUCUCAAACUCUUAGUUUCAUUACUGAGUGUUUGGAUUUGGAGGUCUAUGCUGGCGCAAGUCAGCUCCUCUUAAAUACAUUAGCUUGGGUCUUGCAUGUCUGGAUCCUUGGUGUGAUAAUUAUCUACGCCAUGAUGUCCCUUCAAGCCCUGCUUCUAAUCGUCUGAAUAAGACAAUUUAUUACUUGACAUCUGACCUCAAAUCAGGUAGGACUACCCGCUGAACUUAAGCAUAUCAAUAAGCGGAGGA